ACGAAGGCUUCGGCCUUAGUGGCGCACGGGUGCGUAACGCGUGGGAAUCUGCCCUCAGGUUCGGAAUAACAGCGAGAAAUUGCUGCUAAUACCGGAUGAUAUCGCGAGAUCAAAGAUUUAUCGCCUGAGGAUGAGCCCGCGUAGGAUUAGCUAGUUGGUGUGGUAAAGGCGCACCAAGGCGACGAUCCUUANCUGGUCUGAGAGGAUNGAUCAGCCACACUGGGACUGAGACACGGCCCAGACUCCUACGGGAGGCAGCAGUGGGGAAUAUUGGACAAUGGGCGAAAGCCUGAUCCAGCAAUGCCGCGUGAGUGAUGAAGGCCUUAAGGUUGUAAAGCUCUUUUACCCGGGAUGAUAAUGACAGUACCGGGAGAAUAAGCUCCGGCUAACUCCGUGCCAGCAGCCGC
rnacentral:rRNA from 1 species